rnacentral:rRNA from 1 species
UACAGAGGGUGCAAGCGUUGUUCGGAAUUAUUGGGCGUAAAGCGCGUGUAGGCGGCUUUGCAAGUCGGGUGUGAAAGCCCUCGGCUCAACCGAGGAAGUGCGCCCGAAACUGCAGAGCUUGAGUACCGGAGAGGAGAGUGGAAUUCCUGGUGUAGCGGUGAAAUGCGCAGAUAUCAGGAGGAACACCCGUGGCGAAAGCGGCUCUCUGGGACGGUACUGACGCUGAGACGCGAAAGCGUGGGGAGCAAACAGG